rnacentral:rRNA from 1 species
UACGUAGGGUGCAAGCGUUGUCCGGAAUUAUUGGGCGUAAAGGGCGCGUAGGCGGCCCGCUAAGUCGAACGUGAAAUCCCCAGGCUCAACCUGGGAACUGCGUCCGAUACUGGCAGGCUUGAAUCCGGGAGAGGGAUGUGGAAUUCCAGGUGUAGCGGUGAAAUGCGUAGAUAUCUGGAGGAACACCGGUGGCGAAGGCGGCAUCCUGGACCGGUAUUGACGCUGAGGCGCGAAAGCUAGGGUAGCAAACGGG